AACACCAUUUUCAAAAUACAAUUCAAAUUUAAUUUUAAAUUUUAAAUUUUUAAAUUUAUUUUUUUAAUUUUUAAAAAUUAAAAUUUAAAAUUUACAUUUUACAUUUUAAAUUUCAAUUUCAAUUUUAAUUUUAAAUUUAAAUUUUAAAAUUUCAAUUUCAAUUUCAAUUUCAAAUAAAAUUUGAAAUUUGAAAUUCUAGAAUUUUAAAAUUUAAUUAGAAAAUUUAAAAUUAUAUGUUUUAAUUUUUCAAAUUACAAAUUUCAAAAUUUUAAAAUUCAUAUAUUAAAUUUUAAAUUAUUAAAUUUUAAUUUUGAAUUCUAAAAUUUUAUUUUUAAAAUUUUAAAUAUUCUAGUUUUAAAUUUGAAAUUUUAUAUUUCAAACUUUAAAUUUUAAAUUUUUAUAUUUUUAAUUUCAAAUGUCAGGUUUUAAAUUUAGAUUUUAAAUUUUUGAAAUUAAAAAUUUAUAUUUAGCUUUAAAAAUUCAAAUUGUUAAUUUUAAAUUUUCAAUUUUCAAUUUUUUAAAAAAAUUAAAAUAUCAAAUUUUAAAUUUUGUAUAAUUUUUAAAUUUUAAUUUAAAUUUUAAUUUAUUUUAAAAUAUAAUUUAGUAGAAAUAUUAUUAUAUGCAGAUAUUAAAAUUUUUUUUACCAAACAGUUUUACGAAAUCACUUUAGAAAAAUUGCUUUUAUCUUAACUCAGCCAAACGCUCUACAGUUUUUAACCAAAAUUGCUUCUCCAAACCGAAAUCAAUUCUGCAGAAAUUACUUUUUCAGAAUUUAGGCCAAACCGAAGUUUUNUUUCAAAUUUUGAUUUUUUUAAAAAAUUAAAAUAUCAAAUUUUAAAUUUUGUAUAAUUUUUAAAUUUUAAUUUAUUUUAAAAUAUAAUUUAGUAGAAAUAUUAUUAUAUGCAGAUAUUAAAAUAUUUUUUACCAAACAGUUUUACGAAAUCAAUUCAGAAAAAUUGCUUUUAUCUUAACUCAGCCAAAUGCUCUACAGUUUUUAACCAAAAUCGCUUCUCCAAACCGAAAUCAAUUCUGCAGAAAUUACUUUUUCAGAAUUUAGGCCAAACCGAAGUUUUUUCGUUGUGAUUGUUAAGAAAAAAUUUAAUUUCUUUCACUUUUAAAAUGUCUUGAUGCUUAGAUUUUGUAGAAAAGCAUAUUUAUCUUAUUUUCAAAAAAUGAUUUGAAAGUCGAGUAUAGUGUUCAAUUUCUCACAUUUAAUCAUAUUUCUCAUCUUAUAAAUAUACAAAUUUCUUGAGUAAAUCAAACUAAUAUAUUGAAUAAUAUAUUUAUAUAUUCAAAGAGAGUCUAAGAAGUUGGUAGGCAUAGAUUCUGAAAAACAAUUUAUGUAGAAUUGAUUUUGGUUUGAAGAAUUGAUUUGAUCAAAACUUGUAUAGUUUUGUCUAAAUCUAGUAAGAAAGUGGAUUUUUUUUCUAGAAUAAUUUUAGAAAAUUGUUUGGAAAUUUUUUUAAAUGUUUGCAAAUAAUAAUUUUUUUGCUGAAUUUUAUUUUAAAUUUUGAAUAUAACAUUCGAAUCUGACUUUAAAAUAUGAAAUUC
rnacentral:lncRNA from 1 species